UUGAGUUAAGUUGAGUCGCUGGUAUCAGAUGACAAGAAACAAUAUAAUAUAAAAAAACGCACUGUUUGCGAUCAAAUCAGAUACCAUGAAUUUAUUGUGCUGUCUCCUCAUAAUAGUAAUCUUGCUGUCUGAAACAAGCGGCCAAAAUUCUGUUUCCCAACAUCCGGUUAAAUUGAAAAUUCAGGAAGAUCAAACCGCAACAUUGAACUGUAGUUAUACAACAAAGUAUGCUGGAGAAACUAUUUUCUGGUACAUCCAGUAUCCUGGAAAAUCUCCAAAAUAUAUGCUGAAGAGAUACGGAAAGGAACAAGGGAUGAAGUCUUCAGACUUUUCCGACCGUUUUACUGCAAACUUGGAUAAAGAGAACAAAGUAGUUCCAUUAAAUAUCACAGGGAUACGCCUCUCUGACUCUGCCACCUAUUUCUGUGUGCUGAGCUCCACAGUGAUACGGAGGCACAUUGAGCACAUACAAAAACGAGGCACCCACACUCACCUCCAUUUUCUUGAUCUGAUCCGUGAGCUGAAUCGUGAACCAUAA